CCUACGGGAGGCAGCAGUGGGGAAUAUUGGGCAAUGGGCGCAAGCCUGACCCAGCAACGCCGCGUGAAGGAAGAAGGCUUUCGGGUUGUAAACUUCUUUUAAGAGGGAAGAGAAGAAGACGGUACCUCUUGAAUAAGCCACGGCUAACUACGUGCCAGCAGCCGCGGUAAUACGUAGGUGGCAAGCGUUUUCCGGAUUUACUGGGGGUAAAGGGCGUGCAGCCGGGCUGACAAGUCAGAUGUGAAAUCCCGCGUCUCAACCUCGGAACUGCAUUUGAAACUGUCGGUCUUGAGUACCGGAGAGGGCAGCGGAAUGCCUGGUGUAGCGGUGAAAUGCGUAGAUAUAAGGAAGAACACCAGUGGCGAAGGCGGAUGACUGGACGGCAACUGACGGUGAGGCGCGAAAGCGUGGGGAGCAAACAGGAUUAGAUACCCUUGUAGUC
rnacentral:rRNA from 1 species